CUGCUUCUCUUUGUUCGAGGAUGCCAUGACUUUGGAAAUGAUUCCUCAUGGCUUCCUAUUUGCUGCAAAUACACUUUACUUUGUGAGACAAGUUCCACUGGUGUAGAGUCUUAUUUAGCUCACCAGGAGCAGGCUCAGGUGCCAUAAGAAAAUAUCAUAGACUGAAUGGCUUAAACAGAAAUUCAUUUUCUGGAGGCUGAAUUCCAAGAUCUGAUGCCAGCAAGCCCCAGUACAUAGUUGCAUAUCCUAGCUGUAAGUCCUUCUAGUUCUUCUAUGGGGGAUGCCACCUCAGCAUGGCUUGAUGAGCGGCCCUUGUUUUGAAGCUCUACGGAGAUGUACAGGCCUAGGAAGUUCAGAUGAAGAGAUAGG